UAUCUCAUGGCUCAAUGGUUGAGCAUCGGCUUGGAAAAUCAAAAGUCUCGGGUUCGAUUCCUGUUUAAGUUA
rnacentral:tRNA from 1 species